rnacentral:lncRNA from 1 species
CAUUCACUCUCUCUUUCAUACACUGGCUGUUAUGGAGUUGCUCAUCUUAACAGUUUUUCAGCUCAUGAUGGAGGUUCAAUCUUUCGAUGCACUCAAGAAACCCACUUUAUUUGUUAGCGAAGAUGGUGAUGUGUUCAUCACAUCAUGUGAAAUACCACAUUCAGUCAGAGCCGAUUUCACCUGUAGUCUCUACACUGAAGAUGGAGCUCUUCUGAGCAGAAAUCACUCUCAGAGGAGUCAGAAUGGAGAGCAAAACCUGUGUGUGCUUUAUUCCAGCUACAGUAAACUCUUCACACAGUCGGUUAACAGCAGAUGGUUGAGCUGUGAUUAUUCACUCAAGAUUGAACCUGACAUCAGAUCACCACACAGUGUCACACAUAUCGUCAGAGGUAUUUCUCAGGCCAGACUGUCAGCGUCUGCUUCAGUUCUUCAGGAAACAGACACAGUUGCUCUGAGCUGUGAUAAUACUGAAGAGUUGAAGAUGGAGACAUGUGUCUUCAGCGUUAAUAG